rnacentral:misc_RNA from 1 species
GAUGAAGAACGCAGCGAAAUGCGAUACGUAAUGUGAAUUGCAGAAUUCAGUGAAUCAUCGAAUCUUUGAACGCAUAUUGCGCUCUCUGGUAUUCCGGAGAGCAUGCUUGUUUGAGUAUCAGUAAACACCUCAACUCCCCUUUCUUUUUUUGAAAUGGGAGCUGGACUUGAGUGAUCCCAACGCUUUUCUCACCGAAAAGUGGCGGGUUACUUGAAAUGCAGGUGCAGCUGGACUUUUCUCUGAGCUAAAAGCAUAUCUAUUUAGUCUGCCUAAAAAACAGAUUAUUACCUUUGCUGCAGCUAACAUAAAGGAGAUUAGUUCUUGUGCUGACUGAUGCAGGAUUCACAGAGACAGCUUCGGCUGGCCUUUGUAAACUCGAUCUCAAAUCAAGUAAGACUACCCGCUGAACUUAAGCAUAUCAAUAAGCGGAGGAA